rnacentral:rRNA from 1 species
GAUGAACGCUGGCGGCGUGCCUAAUACAUGCAAGUCGAGCGAACAGACGAGGAGCUUGCUCCUCUGACGUUAGCGGCGGACGGGUGAGUAACACGUGGAUAACCUACCUAUAAGACUGGGAUAACUUCGGGAAACCGGAGCUAAUACCGGAUAAUAUAUUGAACCGCAUGGUUCAAUAGUGAAAGACGGUUUUGCUGUCACUUAUAGAUGGAUCCGCGCCGCAUUAGCUAGUUGGUAAGGUAACGGCUUACCAAGGCAACGAUGCGUAGCCGACCUGAGAGGGUGUUCGGCCACCCUGGACCUAGGCCCCGGUCCGGCCCCCUCGGGGGGGCAGCAGUGGGGAAUCUUCCGCAAGGGGCGAAACCUUGCCGGGGCACCGCCGGGGGGGUGAUGAAGUUUUCCGGUCCGUAAACCCUUUUUUUUGGGGAAAAAAAAAUUUGUAAGUACCUAUGCCCUUUUUGACGGUCCCUAACCAGAAAGCCCCGCCUAAUUCCGU